CCUACGGGAGGCAGCAGUGAGGAAUCUUGGUCAAUGGGCGGGAGCCUGAACCAGCCAAGCCGCGUGAGGGAAGAAGGUACAGCGUAUCGUAAACCUCUUUUGUCAGGGAACAAAGGCGGGGACUAGUCCCCGGAUGAGGGUACCUGAAGAAAAAGCAUCGGCUAACUCCGUGCCAGCAGCCGCGGUCAUACGGAGGAUGCGAGCGUUAUCCUGAUUUAUUGGGUUUAAAGGGUGCGCAGGCGGGCUGUUAAGUCAGCGGUAAAAGCCCGGGGCUCAACCCCGGCGAGCCGUUGAAACUGGCGGGCUUGAGUGGGAGAGAAGUACGCGGAAUGCGCGGUGUAGCGGUGAAAUGCUUAGAUAUCGCGCAGAACCCCGAUGGCGAAGGCAGCGUACCGGCUCCACACUGACGCUGAGGCACGAAAGCGUGGGUAUCGAACAGGAUUAGAUACCCUUGUAGUC
rnacentral:rRNA from 1 species